UACGUAGGUGGCGAGCGUUGUCCGGAAUUACUGGGCGUAAAGGGUGCGUAGGCGGGAUCUUAAGUCAGAUGUGAAAACCCCGAGCUUAACUUGGGGACUGCAUUUGAAACUGGGGUCCUAGAGUGCAGGAGAGGAAAGCGGAAUUCCUAGUGUAGCGGUGAAAUGCGUAGAUAUUAGGAAGAACACCAGUGGCGAAGGCGGCUUUCUGGACUGUAACUGACGCUGAGGCACGAAAGCGUGGGGAGCAAAC
rnacentral:rRNA from 1 species